CAGUAGCCACGGUAAUACGGAGGGAGUUAGCGUUGUUCGGAAUUACUGGGCGUAAAGCGCACGUAGGCGGCUUUGUAAGUCAGAGGUGAAAGCCUGGAGCUCAACUCCAGGACUGCCUUUGAGACUGCAUCGCUUGAAUCCAGGAGAGGUGAGUGGAAUUCCGAGUGUAGAGGUGAAAUUCGUAGAUAUUCGGAAGAACACCAGUGGCGAAGGCGGCUCACUGGACUGGUAUUGACGCUGAGGCGCGAAAGCGUGGGGAGCAAACAGGAUUAGAUACCCGUGUAGUCCCUGUCUCUUAUAC
rnacentral:rRNA from 1 species